GCCUGUGUAAUAGUGCAUAUACUAAAAUCAGAACAAAACAGAGAACAUUAGCAUGGCCUUUGUGCAAGGAUGACAUGCAAACUGAUGAAGCAUUCCAUAUUUUU